GACUCAUUUUCUACCUUUUUUCCCUCAAGGUGACCAGUCUGAUACAGAAUACACCCUAUACCCUUGGGUGGCAGCUUGAAGAGCGUGUGGUCAGUCCUCGAGUCGUCCAGAAGAUACAUAUUAUGUACUUAACACCAUGUCUGUUUGUCUUCUCUUGUUAGUAUUCUGCCACAACCAGUUACAACUGUAUACAGUGUCUGAAGUGAAAUACAUGCAUAAUAGACAAUUAAAUAA